GCGUCUUCUCUAUGUCAUCACAGAUAUCCCAACUGAUGACUUAUGGAAUGAUGUUCGAACUGCUCUUGGCAUCCUUGGUGUGGCUUUCCAGCUUGAGUGCAAAACUAUUAUUAGUGCUUGUGUGAAUUACUUGGAAGCAGUACCAUGGGAGGAGGAUGAGGAGGAGGAAAUUUUGAAGGUUAUACCUCAUAUGGGACCAGAAGCUGAGCCAAUUCUUGCUCGUCUUCAGCCGGUCAAUUCAUCUCUUGUUAGACAGAUAUUUCUUUCCGCUCUUCGAUUGGCUACAUCAUCUCCCUUUUCUAACAU
rnacentral:lncRNA from 1 species